UACGGAGGAGGCCAGCGUUGUCCGGAAUUAUUGGGCGUAAAGCGCACGUAGGCGGCUUCUUAAGUCAGGGGUGAAAUCCUGGGGCUCAACCCCAGAACUGCCCUUGAUACUGAGGAGCUUGAGUGCGGGAGAGGUGAGUGGAACUCCGAGUGUAGAGGUGAAAUUCGUAGAUAUUCGGAAGAACACCAGUGGCGAAGGCGGCUCACGGGCCCGGUACUGACGCUGAGGUGCGAAAGCGUGGGGAGCAAACAGG
rnacentral:rRNA from 1 species